AGCGAAAGCGAUAAGCAUUCCACCUGGGGAGUACGCCGGCAACGGUGAAACUCAAAGGAAUUGACGGGGGCCCGCACAAGCGGAGGAACAUGUGGUAUAAUUCGAUGAUACGCGAGGAACCUUACCCGGGCUCAAACGGGGAGUGACUCAGGCAGAGACGCCUGUUUCCCACGGGACACUCCCCGAGGUGCUGCAUGGUUGUCGUCAGCUCGUGCCGUGAGGUGUCGGCUUAAGUGCCAUAACGAGCGCAACCCCCGCGUGCAGUUGCUAACAGAUAACGCUGAGGACUCUGCACGGACUGCCGGCGCAAGCCGCGAGGAAGGCGGGGAUGACGUCAAAUCAGCACGGCCCUUACGUCCGGGGCGACACACGUGUUACAAUGGGUGGUACAGCGGGAAGCCAGGCGGCGACGCCGAGCGGAACCCGAAAUCCACUCUCAGUUCGGAUCGGAGUCUGCAACCCGACUCCGUGAAGCUGGAUUCGAUAGUAAUCGCGCAUCAGCCAUGGCGCGGUGAAUACGU
rnacentral:rRNA from 1 species